rfam:Cavia porcellus supercont2_12 genomic scaffold, whole genome shotgun sequence.
GGAUGUGGAGGGGAUCAGGCUGCGAUAUCUAUCACCCCAUUGAUCACCAGGGUUGAUUUGGCUGGUCUGGCUGUCUAAGUGGUGCCCUCUUCCUUCCUCAAUGCUCCAUGUGCUUCCCUCAUGAAGCAGAGUGCUCGUUUGAAGAGGAUGUCCAAGCCUGAGAGAGGACUGUUCCUCUGUCAAGGGUAGACAAGUAUCUGCGCUUCCCUGCUGGAACCUCCAGAAGCUCAGACCCAGCACAUGCUUUUUUUUUUUUUUUUUUUUUUUAAUUUAAA